rnacentral:lncRNA from 1 species
CUAUAGAGAGUACCAGAGUAAGCUAGCAAAGGUAGCUGGUAGCAAACAAUCAGCUUCCAUAAUCAAGGAUGCGAUAUACAUAGUGGGUGCUGGGAGUGGUGACUUUCUUCAGAAUUACUAUGUCAAUCCUUUACUUAACAAAGUCUACACUCCUGAGCAGUAUAGCUCAAUGCUUGUCAAUAUUUUCUCAAGUUUUAUUAAGGUGUCUUGCCAUCUUUACUGCUGUUUCUGUUAAUUUUUCAAAGUUAAACUGCUGAUUUCUUAGAAAAAGUUGAAACUGAUAAUGGAUUUUGGCUGCUUUGUUGUAAAGAACAUGUAUGGAUUGGGAGCAAGAAAAUUUGGAGUGACUUCACUGCCACCAUUGGGUUGCCUUCCAGCAGCAAGAACUUUAUUUGGAUAUCACGAGAGUGGCUGUGUCUCUAGAAUCAAUACUGAUGCUCAACAAUUUAACAAGAAGGUCAGCUCCGCAGCAACAAAUCUUCAAAAGCAACUUCCUGAUCUGAAAAUUGUGAUUUUCGACAUUUUCAAGCCAAUCUAUGACCUUGUCCAGUCCCCUUCAAAAUCUGGUAUUGCACAAACUCAGGAUCCCAUUUAGCUGGUCAUUUGAAACAUGAUACAAGCAUUGGCUUAGCCCUUAUGCCCUUAUAAUUAACGUUAGUUGAUGCCUUCCAUGUUUUUUUAGGCUUCGUGGAGGCAAAAAGAGGUUGCUGUGGAACAGGAACUGUAGAAACAACUGUCUUUCUGUGCAAUCCAAAGUCGCCUGGAACAUGCUCCAAUGCCUCUCAGUAUGUGUUCUGGGACAGUGUUCAUCCUUCUCAGGCUGCUAAUCAGGUUAUUGCCGAUGAAUUGAUUGUUCAAGGAUUUGCCCUUCUCUGAAGGGGAUGUCAAAUCCAUGGAAAUGAUCAAUAUUUCCGUUGAGGCUUCUUAAUCUUCUUGGUGUCUGUGCUUCAGUUUAUCUGCUUGUCUAUACAUCAUUUUAAGAUUUCCUUUGUUUCUUCUAACAUUUGCUAUAUAUACAUAGUGUUUUGCUACUAUUUUACCAUCUCUAUUAUAGUCCUUAGCGAAGCAAAAAGCUUCUCUUAACAGUGAUAUAAAUGAGGUGCUUGUUGUCCAUCAAGAGAAAUUUCAAUUCAUUCUGCUUGUUCUGAUCAUAAAAAGUUUCACAAUGGCAUAAGCGCAGCUUCUAUAUAGUCGUUUAAGAUCGAUCUUAAUAACAUAUACGCAGGGUAAAGAACAAACAAAAAACAAAAGGACAUAUCAACCCUUGGAAUGAAACUAAAACUUUUACAUGCGACAUUUCACGGUGCCUCUACAGAAAUUAAGUCAUAAAAACAUCUUUCAUUUCACAGUCAAAGCAAAUCAUAGAAGAGCUACUUGUGCGGUGACAUAUUAUACGAUGAUUGUGAACAUGCACAUCAAUCAGCCAUUGUAAAUCAAUAAAUAUAUGAAUAGUAUAGGAACCACAUUUCUUAUUUGAGAAAUAAGUGGAGGAGGCACAUGAAACGCACAUUAUAUGGGAAGCGUGCGGAGCUUCCACUUUGCGAAAUUUAGCGAAGUGCACAAAUAAAUGACUAAAUAAUAAGAAGCCAGAAAAUAUGAUAAUUUUGACUAUUGAACUUCAUUUCAGUGGGCAUUUUGCUCCUUUUCCAAAAACUCUCAGAGAAUCAACUAAAAGAACAUAAAUGGCAAAAACUUUGAUAGAAAAAAAUACCUCACCAUUUCUUCCCAAAGAAGUAAGCAUCAUGAUGAGCAGGGCGAGCUGUCAUGGCUGAUUCCUCUGAGUCGAACUGAACAAAUCUGAAACCCUUGCUUUUUGCUAUCUUCUUCAGCUACCUUGCAAGAAAGAACAGCUGCAAAUUGGCAGAACAAACCGAGCAAGCAAGUGCCUUCAACUGAAGAGGCCAAGUGCUUGACACGAAAGAUUACCAACACCACAUUUCCCAAGUGAAGGAUGAAGGAUCCCUCUGGCACCACAUUAUCCUCAUUUGUUUUCUCUUUUUAGACAUGCCAUAGCCCUUACAAGCUAAAGAAAACAUGCAAGAACUUUUCUUCUUUCUUAAUUCUUUUGCCCUCUAGUGGAUUUUCUGUUUUUGUUUAAAUUGAUAAAAGGGUUCCUGUAAAUUUUCAAGCAAAAUUAAAAGCCACGCAAUGCAACCAGAGAAGAUUGAUGCUUGUAGCUUUGGAAUUGUUUUUUGAAUAAAUGCCAUUUGUAAUUACUUGCUUCGCCUUGAUCUUGAAAGCACAAAAGUUAGUGGUGCUAUUGGCACACCUCUACUAAAAUAAACACCUCUAAAAAUUUGAAAAUAUUGUACUAUUGUUAUCAACACUUACAUAAUUUUUAAAACUAGCCUUAGAUCGUAAACUCCAUUCAUGAGUCUCGUCAUCUCUUUCUCAAUGUCUCUUCUUUUUUAUUUUAUUAUUUUUUUGUGUGUUCAGUCAAAUCAUAUGUGAAGUUGUGAACAACUCAUAUGUGAAAUUAUAAACAAAACUUUUAAUAAUUUGUAUCCCUCUCUCAUUGUUUACACCUCUCGAACAAUAUUUCUUAGAAUAUUUUGUAUUUAUGUGAAUCAACUGAUUGCUUCUAACAAAAAAUUAAUGCUCUUUUUUUUUUUUACUGUAAUUUACGUAUAAUUCAAUGUCCCAUAUAAUUUUUUCUCAAUCUUCACAUUGAAAAUAAUUAAGAAGGAGAAUUUAUUUCAACAUUUAGACUUACUCUCUCAAUUGUCAUUUGAGAACGGUGAUUGAUAUGAUGUUGGGUUUAAAUAUGUAACAGGAAAGGGGAGUGCUAAGGAUUCUUUGGUAAUAAGAUUCACAAGACUUAUGAAAAAUCAUCUACAAUAUUGAUUUGUCAUCUUCAUAAAUGCUGGAAACCACAUAAUCGACUCUUUUGUAUGCCUAAAGUUCUUGGGACUAAAAAAUUGCACCAAGUGUUGCAAAGAUUUUUUUCUCUUAAAUUCUUAUAAGAUUCUUUAUCUUUUUCACUUACUUUCUUUCGGUGUGAAAAAAAUAUGAAUUAAUUUAAAGAGUUAUGAAAUCAUUUAUGCAUUCAAUUAGACUCUUUUAUUAUUUAUCUAUUCUCGUAAUUUUAAUUUAGCAUAUAAUUAUAAUUAUCCCAACAUAAUUUUAAGAGAUAAAUAAAGGGGUGCCAAGAGUUCAAUUCGGACUUUGUAUUAAAUCAGUAUGAUAUUUAAUUGGGAUUAGUAUGACAUUGAAGUUUAUCUUCUCCUGGAGAGAUGGACCCAUAACUGAGCCUAUUCUGCAACCUUCAGCAAGGCCCACCAGUGAAGAGAUUUGAUUUUUGAACCAGCUGGGAGUGGACUCGGUCAGAUUUCAUGCACUAAAUUUGGUCCACUAUCUAAACGACGUUUCUUUUUCCUAAUCAUUUAUUGUAGACGAGUGAACCCAACUAUAAUGCACAGGCUAAUUGAGUUACUUCAGUUAUUGCAGAACUGUGGACCGAAUAGAAAAGCAGUGUAGCUAUUGGCACCCCUAUAUUAUUCUUAUAAAAUAUUACUUUAAAUAAAAUUAUAAUUAAAAAUAAUUAAAAAUUAAACACAUAUAGAUUUUUUUCUAGCAAAUUAUUUAAUUCAUAAUCAAUCCUUUUAAAAAAAAAUCUAUAUGUUACUUCCUAUCUAACUAAAAUCAUUUGUACAAAUUUAGAAUAAUUUAUUAUUCUCUUUUAAUUUUUUAUUGAUUAAAUAUUUUUAUACUUAAAAUUACUUUGAAAUUAUAAUUUGAAAUAUGUGUUAUUUCAGCCAAUGAUUAACACUAAAAAACUUAUCACUUAUAUAACUUUUUAAUUUGUGUGUACAGUAAUAACCAAAUUGAAAAUAAUUAAAAAAUAGAAUAAUAAUACUUUGAGGUUUAACAAUAAAACAAAUCAAAUGAAAAUUGUGAACUUAGAAAAGUGUAUUAAAAAAAAGAGUAUUUUCGGAUUUAAAAUGAAUAUAAUUAAAAAUGGGGUUUUAUGAGGAGAUCAGAGGGGUGCCAAUAGUCCAACUUGAAAAGCCUUGGACUACAUUACAAAUAGAUUAGGGUAGAAAUAUACAAAUUGGACCCUUUUUUAGGAGUAUUUUUCACUUUGUGGACCCAGUUUCUGACCAGCAAGAUUUGUAGAAACUGAGAUGGGAUUGCAAAUUUAGGGUUAUAAACUAUUGAAAAUCAAAUGCGAAAAUUGACGAUGAUGCAUAUUCUAACAACAUUAUUCAGUGAAGAAACAUACUAUAUAUUACCUCAAGCACAUGCACGCAACUUUAUUGUGACUCCAAUUCACAGUGUCAUCACCCAUUUAUUCACCUCAAGUCUCAACUACCGGCCUCCUCUCAUCACCUACAUCUAGAGAAAUCAAAUUAAGGUUUCUAUAUGUUGUCUGAGCACAAAGGUAGUAGGACUCGAUCCAAGCUGGCUAAACUCGGCUGGACAAAAAACAAAGCCCAAGCCGGCAGGAGCCGAAAUAUUGCAAUGACUUUAACUACGCUCAACCUCUAUCCUCCUCCUUUAAUGCACAUCUGAACACUGACAGAAUUGGGUCAUUAACUCAUUGGCCUUUUUAUCAUAAGGUUCAGUUCACAGCUCAAAGACUCAAAAAACAAAACCAGCUCUAAAGAAAAUGGAUCUGUGUAGCAGGAAAACAGUUGUGUUUUUGGUGCUGGCAUUUGCAGUUGCAAGCAAAGGGUACGCACAAGAGGCAGCGCCUCUUGUUCCUGCAAUCGUAAGUUUUGGUGAUUCUUCAGUAGAUGUUGGCAACAACAAUCAUCUUCUCACCUAUUUCAAGGCCAAUUACCCUCCUUAUGGAAGAGAGUUUAUCGAUCAUCAACCUACUGGAAGAUUUUCCGAUGGGAAAUUAGUCACUGACUUCACUGGUAAGUAAAGAACACCAACUCUAUAGAUGAUUAUACUUAUCAUCAACAUGGAAACUCUCUCUUCCAAAGAGUCUAGCACAAUAGCAUAAUAAAUCCUCUAAUAAAUUUAUCUCAUAUAUAAACUCAAUUUGUAAAAUGUUAGAGAUGAGGUGAAUUGUUAAGUAAACGCAUGCGUAAUAAUUGGUUAUAUAAUAACUAUACAAAGAAUCAUUAACCAUGGCCAUUUAGUAUUUAUUGAAAUAUUUAAACUUUUAACUGUCGAAUAUUUAAACAUUGAACAUUUAAAUUACUUGGACAUUAAAAUAUUUUAGCCGUUAAAUUGUAUAUCAUAUAAAAAUCGAUACAAUAUCAUAAUAAAUUUUUAAAAGUUUUGUUAAAAUAAACAAUUUUAAGAAAAAAAUUUCUUUAAACAAUAUAUAAUUUUUAACUCAAAUGUAUUCAAUCUCAUAAAAUAUUAUAAAUAUAAUACAUGAAUUCACUUACCUUGAAUAGCAGCAAUCAAUCAAUCAAGUCAUCAAGGACACAAUCAUUAUUUGAGCUCAGUCAUGCCUUAUAUUCAUAAAAAAAAAAUUAACAUUCAUAUCAAUUCCAAAGUCCAGCUAUGUUGCAACUGUAGUAUGGUACUAUAGUUACUUUUAGUUAUUGAAUCCAAUUAAUGUAAUUGUGUAACUAUGGAUCUAAUGACUGAAAACAACUGUGGUAUGAUUUUGUCCCAAUUCCUAACCUUAUUGUUCUCCUUAUCCAUACCUCAUCUUGAUCUAAGAGUGUACAAAUAUUUAUCAGUAGCUCCAAGAAACUCAAAUACGAUACUCCUAUUGAUUGUCCCUUUUUCCUUUUUCCAUAUCUUUACUUUUCUAAGCCUUUCUUCUCCUCAUUCUCUGCAUCUCCUUUUUCAUUUUCAAACCCUUUUCUCUUGUUUCUUUGUUUGAAUUUCCUUUUGCAGCUGAUACCCUAGGCUUUAAGACUUAUGCGCCUGCAUAUCUUAGCCCACAAGCUACAGGGAAAAACCUCCUUAUUGGGGCCAACUUUGCUUCAGCUGGAUCUGGUUAUGAUGGCAAUACAUCCAUCAUAAACGUAAGAAAAAUGUAUUGAUCUUAUUAAAUGCAAAGUUCCAUUUCUCUAAACAACCGUUCUUUGUGUUGCAGCAUGCAAUUUCAUUGACUCACCAAUUGCAGUACUAUAGAGAGUACCAGAGUAAGCUAGCAAAGUUAGCGGGUCGCAAACAAUCGGCUUCCAUAAUCAAGGAUGCAAUAUACAUAGUGGGGACUGGGAGUGGUGACUUUCUUCAGAAUUACUAUGCCAAACCAUCGCUUAACAAAGUCUAUACUCCUGAACAGUAUAGCUCAAUGCUUGUCAAAUCUUUCUCAAGUUUUAUCA